UACGUAGGGACCAAGCGUUGUUCUGAUUUACUGGGCGUAAAGGGCGCGUAGGCGGCAAAUUAAGUCAGCUGUGAAAUCUCCGAGCUUAACUCGGAACUGUCAGCUGAUACUGAUGUGCUAGAGUGCGGAAGGGGCAAUCGUAAUUCUUGGUGUAGCGGUGAAAUGCGUAGAUAUCAAGAGGAACACCUGAGGUGAAGACGGGUUGCUGGGCCGACACUGACGCUGAGUGCGCGAAAGCCAGGGGAGCAAACGGG
rnacentral:rRNA from 1 species